AUUGAACGCUGGCGGCAGGCCUAACACAUGCAAGUCGAGCGGAUGAAGGGAGCUUGCUCCUGGAUUCAGCGGCGGACGGGUGAGUAAUGCCUAGGAAUCUGCCUGGUAGUGGGGGAUAACGUCCGGAAACGGGCGCUAAUACCGCAUACGUCCUGAGGGAGCAAGUGGGGGAUCUUCGGACCUCACGCUAUCAGAUGAGCCUAGGUCGGAUUAGCUAGUUGGUGGGGUAAAGGCCUACCAAGCCGACGAUCCGUAACUGGUCUGAGAGGAUGAUCAGUCACACUGGAACUGAGACAGGGUCAAGACUCCUGCGGGAGGCAGCAGAGGGGAAUAUGGGACAAUGGGCGAAAGCCUGAUCCAGCCAUGCCGCGUGUGUGAAGAAGGUCUUCGGAUUGUAAAGAACUUUAAGUUGGGAGGAAGGGCAGUAAGUUAAUACCUUGCUGUUUUGACGUUACCAACAGAAUAAGCACCGGCUAACUUCGUG
rnacentral:rRNA from 1 species